rnacentral:piRNA from 1 species
CAUACUGACUAGUCCUGAAACUC